rnacentral:lncRNA from 1 species
AGGAGAAAAAAAAAAAGUGCAUAUUCAGAAGAGAAUUCUAAUGUAAGAAUUCUUCUGCUAGUAGUAAGACUUCAGCAACUUAAAGCUAUGUUGCACUGUGGAAAAAGUGAGAAUAUUGGCUCAUCUAUUAAGACAUCUCAGAUCUCAGCCCUUCUGAAUGAACAUUGAUCAAUGCUGUUUCUUAAUUUGAUGUAGUCUUUUUUUUUUCCCAUUAUUUUUUACAUACGUGAAAUUGAAAAAGAAAAAUUGAGCAGGAAUGAUCACAACCGAUUUACUGCCCUGGAAGAAGAAGGUGCCCUGUAUUACUUUGAUUUGUGAAAUCGUGCGUUUUAUAAAAAGCCACUUUUCACAUGUAAGCAAGAUCUUUCAAUAUUUCAGAAGACAAUGGCACAACCUCUGGAGAAUAAAGGCAUUGAAAGAAGUAGCUAAGAGGAAGACAAACACAGCACAGUUUGUGGGAAUUAGCACCCUUUACAAAGCCUAGAUGAGGGCAGAAACACACUGAAUCACAUUCUUCCAACGCGAUAAUUUUUACUCUUGUUCACACAACUGAAUAGCCAAUAAGCACGAAUCUCCUCCCGAACGCUUGCAGCCCGUUACGCAACGUAAAUUGGGCACAUAGGUAAUGAUUUCACGAUAUGAAGGAAGAGAAUGAUGUGCCUUGCUUGCUUGCUAGCCAAAAUGCAUUUCUGAGGCAGGAAAUCAAAAACACAUCCCAAGCCCUGCAAGUAGACUGCCCGCACUCGCCCUGCUGCCAUUAGAGGCUGUCAGGAGGCUGUCAGCUCCAGGAGCCACCGCCACCCAAGGCAAGGCUGCCCCGGUGCCUCCUCCCUGGGAGCGUGCUUUCUGAUCACCCUUCGCUAACAGACAGUGAGGAAAUAUUGCACUGCUGUUGCAGCUGCUUGGAGAACUCCUCAAAUACAGUGCAAACACCGCACUGAAACAAAGCAACGGGAGAAUGCUGCAGCAGAGACCUCAGCUGAGAGGCAAGAUGCAAGAUUUAUUAUGACACAGUGCAGAGGAUAUCUGAAAGGGAAGUCUAACCAAAGCAUUAAUGUGUCUUUUCCUCUUUCCUUCCCUCUUCCCCCUACCCCCCAUGUUAUUUUCCUUUGCAAUUCCUAUGUAUACAUACAAAAUUGUUUCUUUUCUCAAGUGAAACGGCAUCUAAAAUGAUGAAGAAUUUUAGGAGGUGACUGUUUCCUAAGAUCUUUUCUACUUGUUUUGUUCUGUGUUCCAGUGUUCUCUACCCACAGGACUCUGAAACGCUGAGAUUUCAGCAGUUCAUAUGUCUGCCUGCCCACCUCUUUUAUUAAAGGGUUGUGUUUCUCUUCUGUCAACACCUAUUCUUUAGCAUACAUCUCUGCUAUCAUUCAGGAAAAUGUUGGCAUAACAUUUUUUUUUUCUUUUUCUUUUUUUCCUUUUAAAUUCAUUUCUGUAGCCGGGCUUUUCCUUUUAAGUCUCCUUCAUUUCUGUCAUCGGUUUCAACCCCGAAGUUCUCACUUUUGCAAGACAAUGCGCUAUUUUCACACGUGUAAAACACUGAGCAAAGUGGAAUCGCAGAUGUCACAUUUACAUGUUUAUGUUUUUUGUUUCUUUUUUUUUCUCUGCCAGUCGCUCACUUCAACUCUCCAAGCCCAAGGUACUGCAGUGGAGCUGAGAUUCCCUGCGUUCCUGCAUGCAGACCUCCAGCUUUCUGAAACGAACAGGGCUCUUUCUGCCCUCUGUGAUGCUUGGAUAAGGCUCUGUUCUCUAAGCUCUUGAAUAAGCUGAGAUACUGCAGUAUUUGCCAGAGGAGAAGGCCACAGCACAGACACAGAGAAGAGGGAGAGAUUGUGGAUGUUUUCAUGCCUUUGUGUCCUCUUGGAGAGGUGAAGUCAAGGGGUGGCUGCUUGAAGGCUGCCCAGCAAAACAGCCAAGAGAGAGUUUGUUGAGGAUUUGGCAACACAGAUAUGCACAACUACAAUCGAAAUACAUGAUCUGAGGAAAUACACUCUUUCUUGUUGAAAACAGCAUCUUGCUGUUUCUAUCUUUGGAGUUAAUAUUUAAAGACUAGAGCUCUAAUACACUCCAAGACACUCUCUUAUUUCCUUUCAUGGGGUCACUUUACUGUAUUUUCUUGUUUAAAUAAGUUGUAAAAGAUGCAUCUGGCAGAUCCACCUUGUAAACUGAUUUUCUAACCUGGUCAUAUCAUUAUUCAGUACUAGCACUAUGUUCCACCUUGAGGUCCCAUAGAAACACCUCCAUGCCCAGCGUUCUGCUUGGGUACCAUUGCUCAGAGACCAUGAAAGCAUGAAACUGGAUACUAUCCCUGCAGGAUGGAGCCAGGAAGAAUAAAUAACAACCAACAGCAACUGUAACUGAAGUAGCAUGGGCUGCUCAAGAAGCACAUUGGAUCCCUUAACUCUGUGAGCAAAUGAUGCUAGUGACCUGCCAGACACAUCUCCAUUCCAUACUUUCCAUGGGACCAGUGUCCCAUCUGGUCACUCCGUGUCAUCCAGCGCCCAGGCAGUACGCACUUUGUGUUCUUUGAACCUGUGAUGCCCAAAGCUCCAUCACUAUUCUGAAGGCUCACGUAGUCCCAAACACAGCAGGAAGAGGAGAGGGAAAAUAUCAGAGGAUUAGCUGAAUUAUUGCUAAUGAUGGGGAAAAUCUAAGAAAUCGUCUCAUAUUGUU